GUGGGGAAUAUUGGACAAUGGGCGAAAGCCUGAUCCAGCCAUGCCGCGUGUGUGAAGAAGGUCUUCGGAUUGUAAAGCACUUUAAGUUGGGAGGAAGGGCAGUAAGUUAAUACCUUGCUGUUUUGACGUUACCGACAGAAUAAGCACCGGCUAACUUCGUGCCAGCAGCCGCGGUAAUACGAAGGGUGCAAGCGUUAAUCGGAAUUACUGGGCGUAAAGCGCGCGUAGGUGGUUUUGUAAGUUGGAGGUGAAAUCCCCGGGCUCAACCUGGGAACUGCCUCCAAAAAUGCAUGACUAGAGUACGGUAGAGGGUAGUGGAAUUUCCUGUGUAGCGGUGAAAUGCGUAGAUAUAGGAAGGAACACCAGUGGCGAAGGCGACUACCUGGACUGAUACUGACACUGAGGUGCGAAAGCGUGGGGAGCAAACAGGAUUAGAAACCCUUGUAGUCC
rnacentral:rRNA from 1 species